rnacentral:rRNA from 1 species
GACGUAGGGCGCGAGCGUUGUCCGGAUUUAUUGGGCGUAAAGAGCUCGUAGGCGGUUUGUCGCGUCGUUCGUGAAAACUCACAGCUUAACUGUGAGCUUGCGGUCGAUACGGGCAGGCUAGAGUUCGGUAGGGGAGGACUGGAAAUUCCUGGUGUAGCGGUGGAAAUGCGACAGAUAUCAGGAGGAACACCGGUGGCGAAGGCGGCAUCCUGGACCGACACUGACGCUGAGGAGCGAAAGCCAGGGGAGCAAACGGG